rnacentral:rRNA from 1 species
UCGCCAGACUCCUACGGGAGGCAGCAGUGAGGAAUAUUGGUCAAUGGUCGGGAGACUGAACCAGCCAAGCCGCGUGAGGGAGGAAGGUACAGAGUAUCGUAAACCUCUUUUGUCAGGGAACAAAGACUGGGACGCGUCCCCGGAUGAGUGUACCUGAAGAAAAAGCAUCGGCUAACUCCGUGCCAGCAGCCGCGGUAAUACGGAGGAUGCGAGCGUUAUCCGGAUUUAUUGGGUUUAAAGGGUGCGUAGGCGGGCUGUUAAGUCAGCGGUAAAAUGUCGGGGCUCAACCCCGGCCUGCCGUUGAAACUGGCGGCCUCGAGUGGGCGAGAAGUAUGCGGAAUGCGUGGUGUAGCGGUGAAAUGCAUAGAUAUCACGCAGAACUCCGAUUGCGAAGGCAGCAUACCGGCGCCCGACUGACGCUGAGGCACGAAAGCGUGGGUAUCGAACAGGAUUAGAUACCCGGGUA